rnacentral:ncRNA from 1 species
CACUGAUAAGGGCAAACCAACUGAAAAGUUGGGACGCAAAGCCACCGGUCUAAAGGUUUUUACCUAUGACAGCGGGGUUGCCAGU